rnacentral:rRNA from 1 species
UACGGAGGGUGCGAGCGUUGUCCGGAAUCAUUGGGCGUAAAGGGCGCGUAGGUGGCCCAGUAAGCGUGCGGUGAAAGCUCGGGGCUCAACCCCGAGUCGGCCGUGCGAACUACUGGGCUGGAGCACUGUAGAGGCAGGCGGAAUUCCAGGUGUAGCGGUGAAAUGCGUAGAUAUCUGGAGGAAUACCGGUGGCGAAGGCGGCAUCCUGGACCGGCAUUGACGCUGAGUGAGCGAAAGCCAGGGGAGCAAACGGG